rnacentral:lncRNA from 1 species
AUACGUAAAUAAAUUUUUUGUAGUAGCAUAAAAGCAAAAUAAAUUCAUACAUACUGUAAUACAGUAAGCCUGAGUAUUUAAUUUAAUUUAUAAUAACUAGUGGGCCCUCGAAUAACUAAAAGUAAGAAAAACUGUGAACCUAUAGUUUGGAGGAUGCAAAUCCAAUGGUAGCCUCGAUGAAAUCAGCUAUCUACAGCCUAUUCUGAGCCUGAAAUGGGUGGAAAGGAAGGUGGUGAGAUUAUAUAAUCCCAGUGAGUAAACAAAUACCAUCUAAAAUAUCUAAAGCCGAGUAAAUGGAGACAGAUAAAAUAGUUUAACAUAUUGUAAUUCAUCACCUUUCAACUUGUUUCAACCAAAUAAAAUCAAUUCAUAUAAAUCGAGUAAUUAACAUGGCUUAUGAAUUUCUUAAAAGUUUGGCUCGUGCCAAAAUCAUUCUCAUACCCAAUUAUCAAGGAUACCUUGAUCGAGGGCUAUCCCAACCGAGUCCGCCAAGGCUGUUAAAAAGUUAUGUACGUAUAAAUUAUGUUUUUAUUUUGAAAAUAUAGCCGUUCCUUGGCGUUGGCUGAGUUCACCCUCACGUGGUGGUUUGGCGUGAAGUGAACUCUAAAGUUAUACCUCGGGAGAUACCCUACUCGCCUCUCCAACAGAGGUAAAAUAUAACAGGAUUCUGUGCCUCUCUAAUAGGCUGGUCUAUAGAAAAUCCGCCUACUGCAGCAAGUUAAACCCACCAUACAAUAAAAUUUACAAUAGCAUGACAUGACAAUUAUUUUAUUUUAUUUUAUAGCUUUUCAAGGCAAAUAAACAAUUUAUACAUUUCCAACACAUUUAUCAAAUCAACCAUUCAUGCCAAUAUUGCCAUAAGCCAAUCAAUUGGAAUCAUGAAUUUACAACACACAAAAACAGUCUCCAAUUACUCUAUUUUCAAACCAUCAUUCAAUUUCAAGACAAUUUUUAAAAUCAUUUUAUUUAAACACAUUUUGUUUAUAAAAUCAAAAAAUUAAUCAUUUAAUUCAUUUUCCAUAAAAUUCACAAAAUCAAAUAAAACAUACUUUAGAUAAUUAAGAUGAUGAUAAGGUUACUCACUAUUUUGGGAGUCAAAUUCCAAGUACUCCAAUUCUUGAUCCUCGGGUACUAUCUCUUUACUUUUACCAGAAUACUCACCAUCUAGACAUAAUGCACAAUAAGCCAUUUACUACAUUGUGCUAAAUUGUUAUAAAACCAAUUCAGGCUUGAUACUAAUGUAUGAAAUGGGAUGCAAAUUGUUCGAUUAUUGUCUAAACACGGUAUUCUACACAAAUUCAAUUGUGUACCUAAAUUAAACGGUAUUGGUCUAAUUCGAUCUAUCACUCGAUUAAUUGGCCAAUACGUCCAAUUCAACUCCAAAUAAUUUCAUUUUUCUCCCAAUACUCCAAAUCAUCAAACACAAAUUAAAUAACUUAAAAUAGGGCAAAAUCAUCCUCACAUUUUCUCUUGAAAAAUUCGACCAUGGUGGGUGCAUCAAUAUUAUGAUUUUUCCUACUUGAUUUUCACACCAUAAAUCACUAAUUCCUAACCAAAUCACUUGAAAUAAAAUCAAAAUCAUCAUCAAUAUUCCACAUGGAGAAUUCGGCCAAUGAUGGGUGAUGGGAGAAAAUGAAUUUUUCUUGUUGGCUUUUCAUGCUACACAACACUAACUAACUAAAAACACUAAAAUAUCUUAAAAUCUAACCAAAUCAAGCAUCAAAACCUCUCUCUAAGUGUUCAGCCAGCAAGAUACCCAUCAUGAAAUCAUGUGAUUCAACCAUGGAAAAUGCAAAAGAAUGCAUGAGAAAGGUAGAUCACACGUCAAAAUCAAGAAAUUUUACCUUUGAUUGUUUGAUUACUUGAAAUCCACUAAUUUUCUCUUGAAUUUUCACCCUAGGGUUCUUGUUCUUUCUUUUCUUCCUUUGUUCUUCCUUUGGCCGGCCAUAUGAAGAGAAAUAGGCUGAUU